rnacentral:rRNA from 1 species
GUGAGGAAUCUUCCACAAUGGGCGAAAGCCUGAUGGAGCAACGCCGCGUGCAGGAUGAAGGCCUUCGGGUUGUAAACUGCUUUUAUAAGUGAAGAAUAUGACGGUAACUUAUGAAUAAGGAUCGGCUAACUACGUGCCAGCAGCCGCGGUCAUACGUAGGAUCCGAGCGUUAUCCGGAGUGACUGGGCGUAAAGAGUUGCGUAGGUGGUUUGUAAAGUGAAUAGUGAAAUCUGGCGGCUCAACCGUACAGGCUAUUAUUCAAACUCGCAAACUCGAGAAUGGUAGAGGUUACUGGAAUUUCUUGUGUAGGAGUGAAAUCCGUAGAUAUAAGAAGGAACACCAAUGGCGUAGGCAGGUAACUGGACCAUUUCUGACACUAAGGCACGAAAGCGUGGGGAGCGAACCGGAUUAGAAACCCUAGUAGUCC